GUGCAGGGAUCGCUUACCGUGGGACAGACUGCUGCAUGUCUCACUCGAUGCGACUUUGUUCGUGAGAACGCGUAGACUUGCGCACGGGUAGUUAAAGAGGGGCGAUUCGCAGUUCGUUCAGCCAAGACAAGCGAGCGCGACGGCAACAACAGUCCUAGCUAGCGGCGGGUAACACGUCUGGUCGCCCCGAGAUCGCUGAACAGCCCGGAUCCUUCAAAAACCUCAAUCUUCUGAGAAGUGCUCAUGGAACCUCGUUCCCAAGCUCUUCUGUCCUGCUGCUAGAAAACGUCGGUUCCCGUCACAACAAGAAGCAGUCACCGAGUAUGCAGCUGAGACUGCGUAGAGCUGCGCUUCCUGCCAGUCUACUCUCCCUUGGUCCAUUCCAGUCGAAAGCGUCUUUUCUGUUGUCAAAAGCCGCUCUGACGCUCACGGAUCUAGCGGUGCGUCAGUCACGUCCGUAACACUCGAGUUUUUCGACGACGCUUGCGAUACCUCCACCAGCCCUGAACUACCGUGUUGGGCCGCGUCUCUUGCACAGGAGGGAGCGCAGGGGCACGUUUCAGUGCGUGGACACGCUCGCGUUCAAGAAGGUAACGAAAACGUGUCCGAGAGAGCGUCGAUACAUACACAGAGAAGGCGAGUCUUAGUAACAGUGCCCAUCCAGUCCGUGUGCUUCUCAAGGAGGAAAACAGACGUAGAGCAUAGCAACCAGACCAUGACCGGGCAUCCAAGUGAAGCGGAUAGCGAAGAGGGUCUGGUAUCUCUUCGAGCAGCGACGUAUCGCUCGAGCAGCCUCAAGCAGAGCAGAGCAGAGCAGAGCAGAGGCUCGUUCAAGGUUUCUCUGUCACACGAAGGAAACAAGACGAAAUGCACAGGGACGAUGCACCGACGGACUGUCCGUCUGCACACAUACGCACACGCACACACACACAAAUACAGACUCCAUGAAACCGAGGCCAGCGUCAGCCGACGAGCAGCUUUUUGAACCUGUCAGGGUAGACGAUGAGACGGACAUUGCGGCGGACCCGGAUCCGCAGCUGGAAACCGUCAUCUCAGAUGCAGUAUCUCUACAUCGAGGGGAUGUAUCCGGAGAUCCUCAGGGCGAGCAAAUGCAACUGCGCAGCUUGUGCAGGGAAGGGCAUGAACGGGAGCCCGACAUGGCGGGCGCCCAGCGGUCUACCAGCGAGUGCAAGGACAGCGUCGUGACCCAUGUUGACGCUCUGAGCGCUGAAUCCAGCGGUCUGAGGUAUUCUCUGAACGCCGCAUUCACGGAGCACAUGAGCGUCCAAAUGGCUCAUGCAGACAAUCUAUGGAGGCACUAGAUGGAGCCGCACCGGACUCGCCGAUGCUCCGGCUGCACGGAGGCAAGAAGCGCAGACUGGCCAACGGUUUCCAUGAAAUGGACAUGGACGUGGACACGCUCAAGGACUUGAUCAAGGACAUGGACUUGAACAUGAACAUGAACAUGAACCCGAUAGUGCAUGAUGCGUCGUGCUGUUCGGUGGCAGCGCACUGCCGCUCGAGGUGCUGGAACGCGCUCGGGCUGCAUUCCUGCUGCGUCUACGAGAGCGUGCAACGAGCGAAGGAAUCGAUUCUUUCCGAUGCUUAUCGAUGGAUGCAGGACAAUAUGCAGAAAUCAAGAGCACGGUUGCGCGCUGAUGCCGGUAGAGGAGAAGAGCGUGAAACAGAGCCGGACGCUCGAGAUGUUGCACGGUACGCUGAGAUAACGUCCGAUGCAGCGAGCAACGAGAGCGAGCGGCAUGCAGUUGUGUGCGUUUACCUGUCGAAGCGUGUGACGGCCCUUUAUGGAUCGAGAUAUGAGCGUCUGUCGAACAACGUUCGGAGAUGGCCUCUGCUAGCGAAACGCGCAUGAGCUCUGCAUCGAACGGACCCCGGAGCGGAUCGUUGCGUACAGGCCGUGGGCAUUGCCCUGAAUCGCUGACGACCUUUGAUAAACGAAUUCAAGGACAUUAGAGAGGCGGCAUCUGAUUCUCGCCUGGAGCAAUUCAGUAGUAUGGUAUGGUCAGGAAUACAACAAGUCUGCAACAUCGUAUUUAUGUAGUCGGAAUGGUAUCCCUGGGCGACUGCCAAUCGAGAAUGGUGUUGCAUUAUUCGAUAUUACUGAGUUUCUCGCAGAAUACACACGUGGCUGCCGAAUUUCAACUGGCGAAGCUGCGGUGCAUACUUGCGCGCUAUGGAGCCACAUGAGCUACACGGCUCCAAACGAGCCGAGACCUCAGCACAACGCCAUGAUGAGCAGGAAUGGCAACACCUUUGUCAGCGGUCCCGGAUUUGCUGCGCAUGCCCGCCCAACAAGCGGGGUUUUGCGCGUGACGUUUUCUGUGGGAACGAAUGCGUUUGCGUCCGGCGAGCAUGAAGCGCAAGCGAUGUUGCUCUGCAUCCACUUUGGCUGUCAUGGGCAUAAACUGAACAAGUCCCAGGUGCCAAGUUUGAAAGGUAUCGAAAGACGGAACGGAAAGCACCGCACAAGCGCAGACGAGCGACAUGCAAGCGUUGAAGAGAUGAUCGAGGAGCGCAUUCGCACGCUUCCAUGACGUUCACUCGUGGACGUGCGCGCGCUUUCGAGCACACCGUAGCCAGCAGCGCCUGCUUGCUUACGCAACCAACCGACUUGAAAUGCGUUACGUUCAAUCCCGGAAGCACGGAUGCAUACAAAUCUCGAUUACUCAGCAGUGGUGCAAUGCAGUGAAAUCAUGCGUCUCUCACGACAGCUUUGUUCCAGAAACGAUAUAGGGAGUACUGAUCGCCUCUGACAGGUCCUGCUGCCGACAUCGUCUUGUCCCAGACUAUCUUUGUUGAGAGGCUGUUGGUAUUCUAGCCAACCACACGGGAGUGCCACCGAAGCGCUACCAUCUCAAGCGUGAUGAGUGCUGUGCUCUGCGUAGAGCCUAUUUGUCAUCGAGUCAUCGUACGCAACUUGCAGCGUCUACGU